AUGUACUAUCCUUUCGUCCAUGAUCGCAACUCCCUUGUUUGCCUUGUCAAAAUCACCCUAGCCAUGCCUAACUUCCUUUCCUGGCUAUGUCGCUUCUUCCACCAGCGCCUCGGCAUCACCGCGGUGUGCUUCGCUGGCUCCUCCGUGGCUACAUCCCUAGCUGUGUUUCAACGAGAGUCUGAUCAGAUGCGUGCUUUGCACGCUGGCCCGUUGGAUGCGGGCUCGCCCAAGGUGGAGAUCCUGCCGCAUAAUGCGGGGAGCAACUCCUUCUCCUUCGCCUACCGCCACAUCGUGUGCCUCUCCCUCGAGAAAGUGCUGCUCGAGCUCUGGAACCGGCGUGGAGUGGCGGCCAUUGUUUCGGGCUUCGCCGUCCUGAUCAACGUGGAGCAUGCGAGCCUCUCUGGUCGUGACUUGGCUGGCAUUUUCGUCCUGGUCAAGGUAGAGGCGCUCCAACACAUCCCCACCACAUCUCCUUCCACAAGAUCAACGUCACCGGCCUGUAUGCCGACGUCUUUAUCAAUGAGAUAUGGGAUGUGGCGAGGUCUCUUGGUAACCCUGCUGCCCCUCGUGCUUCGAGCAGCCCCCUGCCAGUGGGCGAGAGCGUGGUCGCUUACCGCUGCGGGGGCGUUCCGUGCCUACAACAACCCCCACGGAGCGUCCUUUAGUGACUUGAUGGCCCUGCUUAAGGUCUCUGCCAAGCCUGCCCUCAAGUUGCCGGUCUCUGCGAUGACGCUGGAUAUGUCCGACUUGGAUGUGGAUUCGGAGAAGGAUGGGCAUAUCAAGCGUCAGUUGGUGGCUCGGCCACAUGCAGUCACCUACUUGGACGUGGACCUGGGGGCGUUCUUCUUCCGGCUUGAGCUCGGCCUGGCAAGGGUGUUCGAGGGCGCCAUCUAUGUCGGUCCUGCCAAGCUCGAUGAUGGCUACUUUCCUUCCUUCGACUUGACCUCUGGGUUGCAGUCUAGGGAAAGCUGCAACUCGCUCCUCUUCAGGGUCUGGUCCGGUGCUUUCUUUGGUCCACUCUCUUGCCCAGGGGAUGAAGAAAUGCAGGAACAGGGAAAGAUUGGGUGCCACCCCCAGGAUUUUUUUGCACACGUGUGCGUAAAUGGACAUGCAGGUGAUGGCGCUGGGGGCAAAAUCCAGCAGGUUGAAUCCGAGCCCCGUGCUUCGCAGCGCAACUCUUCACCUGUGCUGCUCCCGCUAUUCCCUGCGCCAGGAGGGGAGCAGGCGCCAGAGGGAGUGAACUCUGUGGCCAACCCGAUCAUUGUCGAGCCUUUAGAGGAGGCGGCAGAGGAAGACAAGCAAGAGCAGGUCCAUGUUGUGCAUGCUCUGUACCUUGGUCAGCUAGCCGUGGAGGAAAUCGGGCCGAUGCAGGCGGAGGAGCCGCCCAUCGCUUCCACGGUGGAGAAGGCGGCGGAUAAGGCUCCGCGCGCAGCCAAGCGCAAGGCGAAGAUGGCCAUCUCUGCUUCCUCGGCUUCUUCCUCCAGCCGCUCCUCGGGGCAUUCUGCUUCUUCAUCCAAGCGGGCCAAGAAGCUCCGCGACAUUUCCACCCUGAUCCAACUGCCUCUCAAGGGCACACCCAAGCCGCUCGUGAAGAACAAGCUCAAGGCGUUCACAGACUGCUGUGACCUCAACCUCGACGACGUCCUGAUGGAGGCUGCCUCUACCUCUGCCUCGUUUGUUGCAUGGUCGCUUUCGCUCCCGGCCUGUCGGGAGUUGGCGUAUCUUGUUUGUUUCAUGUUCAUCAGUUGGUCUAGAGAGUCUCGUGGUUGUGUCGCUUGUCUUCUGCUGCUUGUGGUUAUGUCCUAUGUUGCGUGUGUCUGUUGUCCUUUACCUCUUGUCAUUCAUGUGGCUUACUCUUUUCUGAUGAUUAUUGCUAACUGGAAUGUUCAUGGCUUGGGUGGCCCAAAUAAGCAUUGUUUGAUCCUGGAUGCACUCAACUCUUGCAAGCCCAACAUUGUUUGCCUGCAAGAAACUAAACUGGGGCUUGUCUCCAUCAAGAAGUUUCUGCCUGCUACGUUGAUCAACUUAUGUUUCCAACCAGCUGAUGGCACGUGUGGAGGUAUCUUAAUGGCUUGGGUCUCAUCAGUGCAGGGAGUAGAGUUGGCCAAAGACGCCUACUCCCUCUUGGUGGCUUUCUCUUCAGCUACAGAUAAUGGGCAGUUUACACUGACUGCGGUCUACGCGCCCUGCGAGGAAAGUUUAAGGCCCAUCUUCUACAGUUCUAUCAACACGCUUGCUGACCAAGUUGCUGGGGCAUGGAUGCUGCUGGGUGAUUUUAACAUGUACCGCUAUGAUUUUGAAAAGAACAAUGAUAUAAUCAACUGGGCGCUGAUGGAGGAUUUUAAUGUCUGGAUUAAUGGCCAUGGGCUGAUGGACAUUGACAUAGCCAACAUGAAUUUUACAUGGUCUAAUGAGCGCAGGAUCCCGACUUUGCUUAAGCUUGAUCGUGUUCUGAUUAAUGCAGACUGGAGCUUGGACUUUCUGGACACCUCAGCAUUAUGUGUCUCCUCGGUCACGUCGGAUCAUGUGCCUAUAUGUGUCACUUUCGGUUCGAAGCAGCCCAAGGCCAAGCUCUUUAAAUUCGAAAAUCACUGGUUGAACAUCCCCGAGGUCAGGCAGCUGGUGAAUGAAUCUUGGCAGGCCGGCCACUGCCACAUUGCCUCUGCAACCUCAAGGCUCAAUUUUAAGUUUAGAAGGUUACAUGCAGCAGUAUGGCAGUGGGCCAAGUCAAGAGGUAAUUUACAGUUGCUGAUUGCUAACAACAAACUCCUACUGGAUUAUCUGAACGCGGUCGAAAAGAGAAGGGUGCUUUGUGAGAUCGAGUUUGCCCUACUACUGCAUGCUGCAAAUAAGCUAGAGGCUUUGCUCAAAUGGCAGGCUAUUUUCUGGAGAAGACGGGCCAAGAUAAACUGGUGCAAGUUCGGUGAUGGGAACUCGUGUUUCUUUCACUUGGCCGCUAACUGUCACGCCAGGAGAUGCAUGUUUACGCCCAUGCUGAAUCGGUUGAUCUCUGUGCCCUUUGUGAGCCAUUCUCAUGGGAAGAAAUUCUGCGCGCCAUCAAAUUAUCCCCCAACAAUAGGAGUCCUGGGCCAGAUGUGUUCAGGGUGGCUCAAAGAGUCUUUCCAACUGAUGAAUACCGGCCGCAGACCAACAUCUGGCCUCAUCCAUGAUGCGGCUGACGACUUGCCAGGGCGUCCGGUGGGUGGCGUUGAAGAUGUCUUGUUGCGGCUGCGAGGCUUCGGAGAAAAAUGGGUACGAUGGAUAUCCGCCUUUCUGCAAUCUGGGAGAGCUAAGGGUGAUCCUUUGUCCCCCUAUCUGUUCAUCCUGGUCGCAGACAUCCUCCAACGGCUCUGUGUGAAGGCUUCACGCGAGGGCCGCCUUGCUAACCCUAUUCAGGGUUUGGAGUUCUUCCCGGUUAUGCAAUACGCCGAUGACACCCUGAUCCUAUUAAGAGGGGAGGUUUCUCAGGCAGUCCAGCUCAAGUCGAUUCUGCAACAGCUCACAGAGUUCACGGGUAUGAAGAUAAACUUCCACAAAAGCACUUUCGUGCCUAUUCACAUGGAUGAUGCUAUUGCAUCCGAAAAAACUGCAAUGUUGGGAUGUUCUAUCAGUUCACUCCCGUGCACAUACCUCGGCAUGUGA
rnacentral:rRNA from 1 species